UUAUUUUCAAUUGAUGCAACUCAGUAAUUUUUAUUGCAACUGGAAGACAAUACAUCACAGAACUUUAUGGUAGGUCUGGGGAAGUGUUAUUUACAAUAAAUGAUGAAGUAGUUUGUCUUUGGCAAUAUGAUUACACAUGAAGAACGCAAAAUGCUGUAUGGAUCCCUCCCAAGCAACACCAAGUCCCUGGAGCUCGGCUGAUGGAGCCAUCUCCACACCGCUGCUUUAGGCUAACACAAACACCACCAAACAUCGUUUUCUUUCUCCUUUCCGGUUCUCCCCUUCUCUUCAUGAUAUUGGCAGUUUUAUACAGAAAUACAGAAAAAAAAAUUGGCUUCUGAAGAAAUUAUUACUCUUGUAAAUUAAUUUGGCCAUGUAGACCUGUUGGCCAGGAAAGGUCAGGUGACUCUAAGAUUCAGCCACAAACCGUGUGGUUUUCUGCUUUAUCAUUGUGGUCUUGUUUUCUGUAAAAUUACAACAAAACUCAGAAGUGUUACAGAAUCAGAGUAGUAAAAAUAAAAAGUUGAUGUAGCUGUUUCCCAGACACACACAGAUUCUUUUUCUCUCCCCAUGUUCACCAUGGCAGGACAGGCAGUGAGAACGAUGGAGUGAGGCUGGCUGAGCCAGCUAUGACCUUGGAUGGCUUCAACACACAUAUUCUAGAAAUGGCGACUGUGUCUGUAACUAAAAGUGUGCUGUUUCCUUUUAGAAACGGGGAAGUCAGGUAUGAAAAGAUAAUACAAUUUCUAGGUUUGACAGGAUCACCAUAUCGAAGUCUUUUGAGAAUCCAAUAUGGAGUAUCAAUUAUUUGCAAAAGGGUGGAGAAGGCAUGUUCUCUACUUUUGCAAAUGCAACACAGUGGAGGAACACUGCUGUAUAGAGUCCAAAUAAAGAGUCUUGAUUCCAAUACUAACGAGACAGGAAGGGUACUUUUGAGCAUCCCACAGCAAGUCAGAAAUGGUCAUUCCACAGCGGGCUCGUUCCGGAGGCUCGGCAGCGCGAGGCAGCACCGUAGACUAACAUCCGUCUCGGCCAUGAAAAGGUGGAUCGUUUUAAAAAUGGUGUUUUCCUUCCUUAAUUUUUGGUCAGUGAAGCUAGCACUUGUUUGCUGAAGGGCGGAAGAGUGACCAAGUCACACCCAUUAUUCAUGAUAAAGCAACCGAGUGGACGAGUCUGUGCUUAAUUCAAGAAUAGCCAGCAGGAGAGAGGACGCUGGGAGUUAGCCACCGUGGCUGGCGUGCUCUCAAAGGAGGAGUUAACAGAUGAAUUCACAAAGGUGGGCAGGUCUAUACAGAACACUGAAUGCUGUGUGUAACUCCUCAUGACAUCCCAAGAAACAGGAACACCACACAAUGUAUAUACUUUGAUUUACACAUUCCGUUACAAAGGAAAAAAGAAAAAAGAAAC
ensembl:lincRNA Gm28933 predicted gene 28933